rnacentral:lncRNA from 1 species
CCUGAUUGUUGAGCAUUACUCUAAAGGUCUUUUAUAACUUGAUUUACCAAGAAAGCAGAUUAGAAAUCUAUAUGGAGACUCAGAGGCCUGCAAAGGGGAGCAAUUAGGGAAAGUGUACUAUUCAGCUUUCCUUUCCAAAUACAUAGGGUGAAUACUUUAAGUUACUUUGUACUUCUUGAGGUUUGCAUUUAAAAGACUAUAUUGUACAAAUCCCCAAGCUAUUGUAGCGACAUUUAUUUUUAGUCCUUUUUUUUUUUUUUAUAACACAAUAGACUUCUGUUAUCCUUUUCCCACUUGGAUCCCAUGUUUCAAACUAUGGCCUUAUUAUAAAGGCCAUGUAUUUAUCUAAUCAUUUUUAAUUAUAUUUGCACUAAUCCUAUUUUGUAUGUUUUGACAUUGUUUUUAUAUAAUGCUUAAGA